GAUGAACGCUGGCGGCGUGCCUAACACAUGCAAGUCGAGCGAUCUUCUUCGGAAGAGAGCGGCGGACAGGUGAGUAACGCGUGGGUAACCUGCCCUGUACACACGGAUAACAUACCGAAAGGUAUGCUAGUACGGGGUGACAUAUGAAAGUCGCACGGCUUUUAUAUCAAAGCUCCGGCGGUACAGGAUGGACCCGCGUCUGAUUAGCUAGUUGGUAAGGUAACGGCUUACCAAGGCGACGAUCAGUAGCCGACCUGAGAGGGUGAUCGGCCACACUGGAACUGAGACACGGUCCAGACUCCUACGGGAGGCAGCAGUGGGGAAUAUUGCACAAUGGGCGAAAGCCUGAUGCAGCAACGCCGCGUGAGCGAUGAAGGCCUUCGGGUCGUAAAGCUCUGUCCUCAAGGAAGAUAAUGACGGUACUUGAGGAGGAAGCCCCGGCUAACUACGUGCCAGCAGCCGCGGUAAUACGUAGGGGGCUAGCGUUAUCCGGAAUUACUGGGCGUAAAGGGUGCGUAGGCGGUCUUUCAAGCCAGAAGUGAAAGGCUACGGCUCAACCGUAGUAAGCUUUUGGAACUGUAGGACUUGAGUGCAGGAGAGGAGAGUAGAAUUCCUAGUGUAGCGGUGAAAUGCGUAGAUAUUAGGAGGAAUACCAGUAGCGAAGGCGGCUCUCUGGACUGUAACUGACGCUGAGGCACGAAAGCGUGGGGAGCAAACAGG
rnacentral:rRNA from 1 species